rnacentral:lncRNA from 1 species
AGUAGUUUAUUACUCCAUGCCUCAUGCAGAGAGCAGUGCUGCGAAUUGAUCUGCCAGGCUCUUCACAGUCGUCGGAGAAACUGCAGAUUCUCCACCCAGGUACCACUUCUGAAUCAUCUCGGCCACAUUCUUGUUCUCCACUGUCAGCUUCGCCUCGCCCUUGCCUUCUGUCACAAAUGAUAUCUGCACACAUAUAUGCAUGCUUCAAUUAGGUUUGCAAGAACAAAGAUUUGAUCACUUGAUAUCUUAACCAAACCCAGCUGAAUAUAAGGAGUACUCUACAAGAUUAUACCUCUGCAAUUCCAGGGGUGUUAGGAAAGUGGAAGGUGAGGACGGAGUUGGGCUUGAAAUACUUGGACUGAAAGAAUUCAGUCACCUUCUCCAGAGACUCUUCCUCCUCAUCCUC